AGAGUUUGAUCCUGGCUCAGAUUGAACGCUGGCGGCAGGCCUAACACAUGCAAGUCGAGCGGAUGACGGGAGCUUGCUCCUUGAUUCAGCGGCGGACGGGUGAGUAAUGCCUAGGAAUCUGCCUGGUAGUGGGGGACAACGUUCCGAAAGGAGCGCUAAUACCGCAUACGUCCUACGGGAGAAAGUGGGGGAUCUUCGGACCUCACGCUAUCAGAUGAGCCUAGGUCGGAUUAGCUAGUUGGUGAGGUAAAGGCUCACCAAGGCGACGAUCCGUAACUGGUCUGAGAGGAUGAUCAGUCACACUGGAACUGAGACACGGUCCAGACUCCUACGGGAGGCAGCAGUGGGGAAUAUUGGACAAUGGGCGAAAGCCUGAUCCAGCCAUGCCGCGUGUGUGAAGAAGGUCUUCGGAUUGUAAAGCACUUUAAGUUGGGAGGAAGGGCAGUAAGUUAAUACCUUGCUGUUUUGACGUUACCGACAGAAUAAGCACCGGCUAACUCUGUGCCAGCAGCCGCGGUAAUAC
rnacentral:rRNA from 3 species